GCCUACGACGGGCCGUCGGCGGCGGUGGUACGGAGGGGGCAAGGGUUGUCGGGAGUGAUGGGGGGUAACGAGCUCGUAGGCGGUCGGGCUCGUCGGCGGUUAAACCCGGGGGCGCAACCCCGGGCCUGCAGCCGAUACGGGCAGACUAGAAUUCGGUAGGGGAGACUGGAAUUCCUGGUGUAGCGGUGAAAUGCGCAGAUAUCAGGAGGAACACCGGUGGCGAAGGCGGGUCUCUGGGCCGAUAUUGACGCUGAGGAGCGAAAGCGUGGGGAGCGAACAGGAUUAGAUACCCCGGUAGUC
rnacentral:rRNA from 1 species